UUUAAAACUUUAGUUUCACUCUUGCAAUAUGGUUUAAGAUUGUAAAAAUAACAUGAGGGACAUAGAGCUAGCCCCACGCAAGGACAAUCUGGAUAGAAGCAACUGGGCCUAAGACUGUCAUAAUCACACGAGGGACGUAGAAAGAGCCCCACGCAUGGACAAUAUGGACUGAAGUAACCGUUUCACCCUUACAAUAUGGUCUAAGAUUGUAAAAACAACAUGAGGGACAUAGAGCUACCCCCACGCAAGGACAAUAUGGAUAGUAGC